rnacentral:rRNA from 1 species
ACAUGCAAGUCGAACGCGAAAGCCCGCAAGGGUAAGUAGAGUGGCGCACGGGUGAGUAACACGUGGACAACCUGCCUUCGAGUGGGGAAUAACCUUCCGAAAGGAGGGCUAAUACCGCAUAACACCUCGGGACACAAGUUCUGGGGUUGAAAAGAGCAAUUUGCUCGAAGAGGGGUCCGCGCCUGAUUAGCUAGUUGGUGGGGUAACGGCUCACCAAGGCUUCGAUCAGUAGCCGUCCUGAGAGGGAGCACGGUCACACUGGAACUGAGACACGGUCCAGACUCCUACGGGAGGCAGCAGUGGGGAAUUUUUGGCAAUGGGCGCAAGCCUGACCAAGCAACGCCGCGUGGGUGAUGAAGUAUCUUGGUACGUAAAACCCUUUCGGCAGGGACGAACCUAAUGACGGUACCUGCGGAAGAAGCCCCGGCUAACUCCGUGCCAGCAGCCGCGGUAAUACGGGGGGGGCAAGCGUUGUUCGGAAUUACUGGGCGUAAAGGGCGCGUACGCGGUUGGAUAAGUCAGCUGUGAAAACCACGGGCUUAACUCGUGGCCUGCAGUUGAGACUGUCUGGCUUGAGUGUGGGACAGGAGAGUGGAAUUCCUGGUGUAGC